CGGCGCGCGCGGCAUCACGGGAGUUGUAGUCCUGUAAGCGCGCGGAGCCCGUCGGGCGCCUAUGGAACUCGACCCGCAGGCCAAAGGGGCUCCGUUGCAAGGAAGAAGUGCGGGGUCCCGCCGCCUCCUAGACCGAGAUCGCGGUGAGCUGGCCGCGGCGCACAAUGGGCACGGCCUGGGCGGCGGCGUCCGUACUAUCGCCCUGUGCCUGCGGAUCCCGGUAACAUUGCGCGGCAGGCCCCAGGCCGGCCUCCCUCAGCUUCGCGGACUGUCUGGGCCGGGGGUCUCAACCUUGACUUCAGGGCCGGGCCGCUGGGGCAGACCCUUAGUGAUGUUCAGGUCCUCUGGGCCCCUGCCAGUCAAGGGACGCUCGUCGCGCGCCAAUUGUUAAGUCUUUCAUUGUUUCUGUAAACCUGCUGACGCCCUCCCAGCGCAUAGGGAGACUGCGCACGUGAGUCCGCCCCCGCGCGCACUGCGGAGAGGUAGAGGCACGAAUGUAGUACAAGGAGCCAGCUGGUCCACCAGAAGUCUGUGUUCUGCCUGUCCCUGCAGCACGGAGGGCUGGGCUUUAUACCUGUGCCAAGGACACCAACGGCAGCAUCAGCAAGUCCGUGUUGUCUCCCAAAUAAGUGGUGUUCUCCAACAAGCUUUUAGCAGUAAUAAAGCUGACAUUUUUAUUCUCAUAUGUCCCUUGUCUCUUUUUCAAUGAUUUAGAUUUAAGCAGGAAAGCCUGGGUUCCUUUUGUGUGUGUGUGACAGGGUCUCUGUCGCUCAGGAUGGAGUGCAGUGGCGCGAUCAAAGUUCACUGCAGCCUUGACCUCAAGCAAUCCUCCCACCUCAGCCUCCAAGUAGCUGGGAUCACAGGCUUGCAUCACCAUGCCCAGCGAAUUUUUUUUUUCUAGACACGGUCUCACUAUGUCACUCAGGCUGG
rnacentral:lncRNA from 1 species